AAUAGUGGCGGGAAUGAAGUGCUCCCUUCAUAUGAUAUGAAAACCGCAAACACGUGCUGAUGACUUCUACGAUUUU
rnacentral:ncRNA from 10 species